GGACGCAUCUCGCAAGAAGCCGCAAGUCUCUCAUCAAUUUUCAUUCAAUUGCUUCAAGUUUUGUCAACGCCACAAACGAAGAAUAAUGUUUACGAAGCUGAAAGCCACAUGUUUUUGAUGAAGCAGCCAUUGGCAAUGAACUUUUAACAUGCAAUUGGCAUAGAAGAAAGCGAUCCGUUUUCAAACUGUGAAUUUGUUAGUUUAUGGAAAGUAUUGGUGGUUUUCAUAUGCGUCAUGCUGAUGGACUC